UCCUGGUAUACUUUUCCCUGCUCUUUCAGAAUCUGGCAUUAAAAUUAAGCUCACGGGAAGCACUUCAAAGCUAUGGACUUGCAAAAAUCAGUUUUUGGUUCACAUCUGAAUUUUUCAAUAAAACUUGGGGAAUUUUCAGUGUUCUCUAUAAGGAUCAAAAUACCAAGUUUUCAUCAAAAUCAGGAAUGAUGCGCAUGGAACUUUUCUGGACAUUGGUUGAUUUGGCACGGACUGACCCUUUCACAUUUUGCUAAUUGUGUACAGGCUGUGUUUUUAAGCCUGUUUAUAAAGAGCAUGCUGCUGCAGCAUUAACAGUUAACAGUUGUUAACAAUUAAUACUUUAUUUUUACUAGCAGUAAUUUCUGUAUGUUAUAUCUUAAAAUAACAGGAAGCUUGCAGAGAAUAUCAGUCCAGGGGAGUGGUCUGAAAUGAAUGGCUUUGAGUUGGAGGUAUGUGAUCAUGUGUGUGAUUAUAUAGAGAUUUUCUAAUACAGGUAUAUUGAUGAAAUGUGAUUAAAGAGUGUUUUAUCCCAUUGUGAUAAUAAAGGGGUUUCCAAGCCAAGACAAGACUUUGAGGUUGACUGUGGCAUCUACAUGUUGAUGUCUGCUUUAUAUGUGGUGCUGGAUGCUCCCUUUUAUUACACCAUAGUAAGUAGCUCUUUUUAGAGAGCAAUAAAGUAUGUGUGCAAAGAAGUCACUAAAUGACACUAAAUUGAUUUUUAAUAGUUAGACAUGCCGAAAUUGCGGAAAUGGUGGUGCCUGCUGCUAAUGGAAAACUUCGAUCUCCGAAGUUAUGGGAAGGUAUUUGCACACUGGACAAAGGAAUCAGAGGCUGUGCUGAGAGGUGAACAUGCACCUGUAUUCAGACUAAGAAAGCGCAAAUCUGUGGAACUUAGCCUGAAACCAGCAGAAGGGAUGUGCUGGAUGGAGACAACAUAGAAUCCAAGGAGCCAUUCCUCUUUGGUUUUCAGGUCCAAGAGGACAUGGAAUUAUUUUUACAGGCCUGUGUUGACCAGCGGGGCCUUCGGGUUAAUGCUGUCUGUUAUAAGAAUGAUUAAAUUACUGGCACAUGAGUGUGUUGAUUAUUAUUUUUUUAUUUCAUCCUGUUUGUUGUUGCCUUCUAAAUAAAUUUAACAGUUUAUUAAAUAUAA